CCUGCCAGCUGGCUAAUAUCAUAAUUAACAAAGUUGCUACUACGUCUGCAAAGUUUAAUCGAAAAAUUUGCCAGUGAUAUGAUGGCAUUGUCACAAAGAUCACAAGGGACUCGGAGUCGACUUUCGCUCAAGGUGGAACGGCAGAGCUGUGGAGGCAAAAUGAGAAAUCUUGAACUUGUUCAGCCAAAGGGCAAUAAACUAGGCCUCCACUAAGCCUGAGCAAAUAGAAAAGAAGAGGAUUAAGUGGAAUGUCCUGCAAGAAUGUCAUGCAGAUGGGGUCUGUCUCAAGACCGAUGGCCCAUAAGGUUGUGCUUCAUAUAACCCACCAGGGAGGAUCAUCUCUCAUGAAAACUUUCAAAUUUGAUUUUGAAAAUUAUUCAGAAAAAUUUAAGCCAUGCUAUCUCCCAGGGUAGGAAAGAAUAUGCUCUAGAGACUUCUAUAAUUCAAAGGCAAUGGACUGGGAUAACAUUUAAGUUAUCAGGCUGCCAAAAUCCUCUUGAGAACAGCCAGGAGGCUAAUAAUGAAGGGGCCAGAGAAGGAGGCCAGUGCUACUAGGGUUAUCUCGCAGCCUCAGAUGUUGGAUAAGUCGAAGAAGGCAGGAUCGCUUCAGGAUGACAUUCAGAAAGGCCGGAGUGAUUACCGGGAAGAGAAAAGCCUACCUAUUCUUUUCUAAGGUGCCUGAAUAUUCCCCUGGCCUGCUUGUCCAUGCACUGAUGCGUUAUUAGCAACCUGCCUUAGACAAAGGAGGCACUCGGAGCCCCACCACACCUCAAACCACGCUUUGAAGGAUCUGCCAAGCUCACUUUUAAUCAUGAGGAAGGAAUUACCCACAUGGAGUCAGCAGAAAAUGAGAAAGUGGAGCUCGUGCUGUGAAUAAUUCCAGCAAGUGCCAAGGGGCUAGUUGAGGAA